rnacentral:misc_RNA from 1 species
CCGAGUUCUGGGUUCUCUUCUCGAGGCCCGACCUCCCAACCCUUGUGUUUAAACCAAUACCAUGUUGCUUCGGCGGGCCCGUCUUCCCCCUGGGAGGACCGCCGGGCGCUGUCUUCAGCGUCUGGCCCGUUGCCCGUCGAUAGCCCAACUUCAAACUCUUGUUUAAUCGUGUCGUCUGAGUAAACAAAACAAAAUAAAACA